UACGGGGGGGGCAAGCGUUGUUCGGAAUUACUGGGCGUAAAGGGCUCGUAGGUGGCCAACUAAGUCAGACGUGAAAUCCCUCGGCUUAACCGGGGAACUGCGUCUGAUACUGGAUGGCUUGAGUCUCGGAGAGGUUGGUGGAAGUUCUCGGUGUAGAGGUGAAAUUCGUAGAUAUCGAGAGGAACACCGGUGGCGAAGGCGGCCAACUGGACGAAGACUGACGCUGAGACACGAAAGCGUGGGGAGCAAACAGG
rnacentral:rRNA from 1 species